GGGGAAUUUUCCGCAAUGGGCGCAAGUCUGACGGAGCAACGCCGCGUGCAGGAGGACGCUUUUCGGAGUGUAAACUGCUUUUCUGUGGGACGAGGAUGGACGGUACCACAGGAAGAAGCCCCGGCUAACUACGUGCCAGCAGCCGCGGUAAUACGUAGGGGGCGAGCGUUGUCCGGAGUUACUGGGCGUAAAGGGCAUGCAGGCGGUCGGACGCGUUUCCAGUGACAGCGGGUGGCUUACCUGCCCGAGUAUUGGAAAGACGGUUUGACUUGAGGACUCGAGAGGGACACGGAAUUCCGGGUGGAGUGGUGAAAUGCGUAGAGAUCCGGAGGAACAUCGAAGGCGAAGGCAGUGUCCUGGCGAGUAACUGACGCUGAGGUGCGAAAGCUAGGGGAGCGAAAGGGAUUAGAUACCCCUGUAGUC
rnacentral:rRNA from 1 species